CGUCAAUAAUAUUCUCGGCUCUCAUUGUAAGAAAAAAUAUUGGAGCUGAGUUUACAGAUUACGUCUGAAUUUCGCGUUUAGUGAAAGGCUGUCCCUCAACAAGUGCGAAGUGUGUGUUCUUAAGAAAGAAAUUAGUGGAGCCAUAAAAACAAUGUGUAGCCAUAAGAUCAUAGGCAUGGAGGCGAACAAAUGUCAGAUUGCCGACAAAUAUGCUAAUGUCAAUAAAAAUGAUGAUGGUGGUGUUGACUACACUAAAGGAUAUGUCCUGUGUUAGGUAACUAAUUCUCCACUUUAGUACCGGUAUAUUUGAGGCAAUUGACUACACAACAACAAAACUUACUUUUCAACAACAAAACUUACUCCUCAACGCCAUCUGCAGGAUAUGGUACGGACUACAUCCCAAUAGCAGUAAAUGGCAACGACACGACUAGGAUAACCUGUCAUCUGAUCAAUCAAGCGUCUGCAUUACGUCCGUCCAUUUGCCUUAAAUAAAGUAAAAAAAAUGAAUAAAUUCUGAAA